CCUACGGGAGGCAGCAGUGGGGAAUAUUGCACAAUGGGCGCAAGCCUGAUGCAGCAACGCCGCGUGAGGGACGACGGCCUUCGGGUUGUAAACCUCUUUUAGUAGGGAAGAAGCGAAAGUGACGGUACCUGCAGAAAAAGCACCGGCUAACUACGUGCCAGCAGCCGCGGUAAUACGUAGGGUGCAAGCGUUGUCCGGAAUUAUUGGGCGUAAAGAGCUCGUAGGCGGUUUGUCGCGUCUGCUGUGAAAACCCGAGGCUCAACCUCGGGCCUGCAGUGGGUACGGGCAGACUAGAGUGCGGUAGGGGAGAUUGGAAUUCCUGGUGUAGCGGUGGAAUGCGCAGAUAUCAGGAGGAACACCGAUGGCGAAGGCAGAUCUCUGGGCCGUAAACUGACGCUGAGGAGCGAAAGCAUGGGGAGCGGAACAGGAUUAGGAUACCCUGGUAGUCCAUGCCGUAAACGUUGGGAACUAGAUGUAGGGACCAUUCCACGGUUUCUGUUGUCGCAGCUACGCAUACGUUACCCGUCCGUCGGGUAGGUACGGCCGGCGAGGACGUAAACCGUACGUAAGUAGUAAGUUAGACGGUCGUUGAGACGUUGCCGACGGCGACGACGAGGGAGGUUAGG
rnacentral:rRNA from 1 species